rnacentral:rRNA from 1 species
AUUGAACGCUGGCGGCAGGCCUAACACAUGCAAGUCGAGCGAGCGGCGGACGGGUGAGUAAUGUAUGGGGACUGCCCGAUAGAGGGGGAUAACUACUGGAAACGGUGGCUAAUACCGCCUACUGUCGGAUAACCCAUAUGGGAUUAGCUAGUAGGUAAGGUAAUGGCUUACCUAGUCGACGAUCCCUAGCUGGUCUGAGAGGCUGAUCAGCCACACUGGGACUGAGACACGGCCCAGACUCCUACGGAGGCAGCAGUGGGGAAUAUUACACAAUGGGCGCAAGACUGAUGCAGCCAUGCCGCGUGUAUGAAGAAGGCCCUAGGGUUGUAAAGUACUUUCAGUCGGGAGGCGGUACCGACAGAAGAAGCACCGGCUAACUCCGUGCCAGCAGCCGCGGUAAUAC